GCGAGGGUGGUGAAAUUGGUAGACACGCCAGACUUAGGAUCUGGAGCCGGUGGCGUAGGGGUUCGAGUCCCCUCCCUCGCA
rnacentral:tRNA from 1 species